rnacentral:rRNA from 1 species
GGAUGCGAUCAUACCAGCACUAAAGCACCGGAUCCCAUCAGAACUCCGAAGUUAAGCGUGCUUGGGCGAGAGUAGUAUUAGGAUGGGUGACCUCUUGGGAAGUCCUCGUGUUGUAUUCC